rnacentral:rRNA from 1 species
UACGUAGGGUGCGAGCGUUGUCCGGAAUUAUUGGGCGUAAAGAGCGUGUAGGCGGCCAUACAGGUCAGCUGUGAAAACUCGAGGCUCAACCUCGAGACGUCGGUUGAAACCGUAUGGCUAGAGUCCGGAAGAGGAGAGUGGAAUUCCCGGUGUAGCGGUGAAAUGCGCAGAUAUCGGGAAGAACACCCGUGGCGAAAGCGGCUCACUGGACCAUUACUGACGCUGAGGCUCGAAAGCUAGGGGAGCAAACAGG